GACAGAGGGUGCAAACGUUGUUCGGAAUUACUGGGCGUAAAGCGCGUGUAGGCGGCUGCGUAAGUCGGGCGUGAAAUCCCAUGGCUCAACCAUGGAAGUGCACCCGAAACUGCGUAGCUAGAGUCCUGGAGAGGAAGGUGGAAUACUUGGUGUAGAGGUGAAAUUCGUAGAUAUCAGGAGGAACACCGGUGGCGAAGGCGGGUCUCUGGGCCGAUACUGACGCUGAGGAGCGAAAGCGUGGGGAGCGAACAGG
rnacentral:rRNA from 1 species